rnacentral:rRNA from 1 species
GAUGAACGCUGGCGGCGUGCCUAAUACAUGCAAGUCGAGCGAACAGACGAGGAGCUUGCUUCUCUGAUGUUAGCGGCGGACGGGUGAGUAACACGUGGAUAACCUACCUAUAAGACUGGGAUAACUUCGGGAAACCGUAGCUAAUACCGGAUAAUAUUUUGAACCGCAUGGUUCAAUAGUGAAAGACGGUCUUGCUGUCACUUAUAGAUGGAUCCGCGCCGCAUUAGCUAGUUGGUAAGGUAACGGCUUACCAAGGCGACGAUGCGUAGCCGACCUGAGAGGGUGAUCGGCCACACUGGAACUGAGACACGGUCCAGACUCCUACGGGAGGCAGCAGUAGGGAAUCUUCCGCAAUGGGCGAAAGCCUGACGGAGCAACGCCGCGUGAGUGAUGAAGGUCUUCGGAUCGUAAAACUCUGUUAUUAGGGAAGAACAAAUGUGUAAGUAACUGUGCACGUCUUGACGGUACCUAAUCAGAAAGCCACGGCUAACUACGUG